rnacentral:siRNA from 1 species
UGACCCGAUUUUAGGUGCGGUU